rnacentral:rRNA from 1 species
GAUGAACGCUGGCGGCGUGCCUAAUACAUGCAAGUCGAGCGAACAGACGAGGAGCUUGCUCCUUUGACGUUAGCGGCGGACGGGUGAGUAACACGUAGGUAACCUACCUAUAAGACUGGGAUAACUUCGGGAAACCGGAGCUAAUACCGGAUAAUAUUUCGAACCGCAUGGUUCGAUAGUGAAAGAUGGCUUUGCUAUCACUUAUAGAUGGACUUGCGCCGUAUUAGCUAGUUGGUAAGGUAACGGCUUACCAAGGCAACGAUUCGUAGCCGACCUGAGAGGGUGAUCGGCGACACUGGAACUGAGACACGGUCCAGACUCCUACGGGAGGGAGCAGUAGGGAAUCUUCCGCAAUGGGCGAAAGCCUGACGGAGCAACGCCGCGUGAGUGAUGAAGGUCUUCGGAUCGUAAAACUCUGUUAUGAGGGAAGAACAAACUUGUAAUUAACUGUGCACGUCUUGACGGUACCUAAUCAGAAAGCCACGGCUAACUACGUG